AUGGAGGUGACGGCGGACCGGCUGCGCUGGGUGAGCCACCACCACCCCGCCGUGAUCAACAGGCAGCACCCGGACACGCACUUCCCGGGCCUCGGCUACUCCUACAUGGACCCUGCGCAGUACCCACUGCCGGAGGAGGUGGAUGUGCUUUUUAACAUCGACGGCCAAGGCAACCGCGUCCUUCCCUCCUACGGAAAGUUUGUCAGGGCCACGGUGCAGAGGUAACCUCCGACUCACCACGGGAGCCAGGUGUGCUGCCCGCCUCUGCUUCACGGAUCCCUGCCCUGGCUGGAUGGCGGGGAAGCCCUGGGCAGCCACCACACCGCCUCCCCCUGGAACCUCAGCCCCUUCUCCAAGACGUCCAUUCACCGCGGCUCCCCGGGGCCCCUCUCCGUCUACCCCCCACCCCCAGCCUCAUCCUCCUCCCUGUCAGGGGCCACACCAGCCCGCACCUCUUCACCUUCCUGCCCACCCCACCGAAGGACGUCUCCCCAGACCAGUCGCUGUCCACCCCGGGCUCAGCCGGCUUGGCCCGGCAGGCUGAGAAAGAGUGCCUCAAGUACCAGGUGCCGCUGCCUGACAGCACGAAGCUGGAGUCCUCGCACUCCAUGGCAGCAUGACCGUCCUGGGGGGCGCCUCUUCGUCAGCCCACCACCCCAUCACCACCUACCCGCCCUACGUGCCCGAGUACAGCUCCGGACCCUUCCCCCCCAGCAGCCUGCUGGGCAGCUCCCCCGCCGGCUUUGGAUGCACGUCCAGGCCCAAGGCCCGGUCCAGCACAGAAGGCAGGGAGUGUGUGAAGUGCGGGGCAGCCUCGAUGGCACGGGGCACUACCUGUGCAACGCCUGCGGGCUCCACCACAAGAUGAACGGACAGAACCGGCCCCUCAUCAAGCCCAAGCGAAGGCUGUCUGCAGCUAGGAGAGCAGGGACGUCCUGUGCGAACUGUCAGACCACCACAACCACGCUCUGGAGGAGGAACGCCAACGGGGACCCCGUCUGCAAUGCCUGUGGGCUCUACUACAAGCUGCACAAUAUUAACAGACCCCUGACUAUGAAGAAGGAAGGCAUCCAGACCAGAAACCGAAAAAUGUCUAGCAAAUCCAAAAAGUGCAAAAAAGUGCAUGACUCGCUGGAGGACUUCCCCAAGAACAGCUCGUUCAACCCAGCUGCCCUCUCCAGACACAUGUCCUCCCUGAGCCACAUCUCGCCCUUCAGCCACUCCAGCCACAUGCUGACCACGCCCACGCCGAUGCAUCCGCCAUCCAGCCUGUCCUUCGGACCUCACCAUCCCUCCAGUAUGGUUACCGCCAUGGGUUAGAGCCCUGCUUGAGGCUCACAGGGCCCCCAGAGAGAGUCCCUGCAGCCCACUUCGACUUGCAUUUUUGCAGGAGCAGAAUCAUGAAGCCUAAACGCAAUGGAUACAUGUUUUUGAAGGCAGAAAGCGAAAUUAUGUUUGCCACUUUGCAAAGGAGCUCACUGUGGUGUCUGUGUUCCAACCACUGAAUCUGGACCCCAUCUGUGAAUAAGCCAUUCUGACUCAUAUCCCCUAUUUAACAGGGUCUCUAGUGCUGUGAAAAAAAUGCUGAACAUUGCAUAUAACUUAUAUUGUAAGAAAUACUGUACAUUUGAGGAAGACUUUAUUGCAUCUGGGUAGCUGUAGGGCAUGAAGGAUGCCAAGAAGUUUAAGGAACAUGGGGGAAACAGAGUGUGGAAAUUAAGAAGAAACUAGGUCUGAUAUCCAAAUGGACAAACUGCCAGUUUUCUUUCCUGUCACUGGCCACAGUUGUUUGAUGCAUUAAAAGAAAAAAAAAAAGAAAAAAGUUGUAAGCGAAUCAUUCAUUCAAAGCUGUUGGCCCCUACAAAGGAAAUACCAGUUCCAGUUCCAGGCAAUCAGUGUUACCCUUCACCAAUUGCCAUUGAGGGUUUCAGAGAGCCCUUUUCUAGGCCUACAUGCUUUGUGAACAAGUCCCUGUAAUUGUUGUUUGUAUGUAUAAUUCAAAGCACCAAAAUAAGAAAAGAUGUAGAUUUGUUUCAUCCUAUUAUACAGACUGAAUUGUUGUACAGAUUUAUUUACUGCUAGUCUUAAGAACUGCUUUCUUUCGUUUGUUUGUUUCAAUACUUUCCUUCUCUCUCAAUUUUUGGUUGAAUAAACCAGAUGACAUUCA